UACAGAGGGGGCAAGCGUUAUUCGGAAUUAUUGGGCGUAAAGGGCGCGUAGGCGGCCUGGCAAGUGACGGGUGAAAGCCCUCGGCUUAACCGAGGAACUGCCUGUCAGACUGUUAGGCUUGAGACCGGGAGAGGUGAGUGGAAUUCCCAGUGUAGCGGUGAAAUGCGUAGAUAUUGGGAGGAACACCAGUGGCGAAGGCGGCUCACUGGUCCGGUACUGACGCUGAGGUGCGAAAGCGUGGGGAGCAAACAGG
rnacentral:rRNA from 1 species